rnacentral:tRNA from 1 species
CGGGCUGUAGUAUAACGGUAGUACGCAUGCAUGGGGUGCAUGUAGCCCGAGUUCAACUCUCGGCAGCCCGA